UACAGAGGGCUCAAGCGUUGUUCGGAUUCAUUGGGCGUAAAGGGUGCGUAGGUGGCGGGGUAAGUCAGGUGUGAAAUCUCGGAGCUCAACUCCGAAACUGCACUUGAUACUGCCUUGCUCGAGUACUGGAGAGGAGAUUGGAAUUUACGGUGUAGCAGUGAAAUGCGUAGAUAUCGUAAGGAAGACCAGUGGCGAAGGCGAAUCUCUGGACAGUUACUGACACUGAGGCACGAAGGCCAGGGGAGCAAACGGG
rnacentral:rRNA from 1 species